GUCCACGCCGUAAACGAUGAGAACUAGAUGUCGAGGGGGUUUUGCCUCUCGGUGUCGAAGCUAACGCGAUAAGUUCUCCGCCUGGGGAGUACGGCCGCAAGGUUGAAACUCAAAGGAAUUGACGGGGACCCUCACAAGCGGUGGAGCAUGUGGUUUAAUUCGAUGCAACGCGAAGAACCUUACCUGCCCUUGACAUCCUCGGAACCCUGCAGAGAUGCGGGGGUGCCUUCGGGAACCGAGAGACAGGUGCUGCAUGGCUGUCGU
rnacentral:rRNA from 1 species